rnacentral:rRNA from 1 species
CAGUCGCCGCGGGAAUACGAAGGGUGCAAGCGUUAAUCGGAAUUACUGGGCGUAAAGCGCACGCAGGCGGUUUGUUAAGUCAGAUGUGAAAUCCCCGAGCUUAACUUGGGAACUGCAUUUGAAACUGGCAAGCUAGAGUCUUGUAGAGGGGGGUAGAAUUCCAGGUGUAGCGGUGAAAUGCGUAGAGACCUGGAGGAAUACCGGUGGCGAAGGCGGCCCCCUGGACAAAGACUGACGCUCAGGUGCGAAAGCGUGGGGAGCAAACAGGAUUAGAUACCCCAGUAGUCCCUGUCUCUUAUAC